rnacentral:rRNA from 1 species
GGUUAAGCGACUAAGCGUACACGGUGGAUGCCUUGGCAGUCAGAGGCGAUGAAGGACGUGCUAAUCUGCGAUAAGCGUCGGUAAGGUGAUAUGAACCGUUAUAACCGGCGAUUUCCGAAUGGGGAAACCCAGUGUGUUUCGACACACUAUCAUUAACCGAAUCCAUAGGUUAAUGAGGCGAACCGGGGGAACUGAAACAUCUAAGUACCCCGAGGAAAAGAAAUCAACCGAGAUUCCCCAAGUAGCGGCGAGCGAACGGGGAGCAGCCCAGAGCCUGAAUCAGUGUGUGUGUUAGUGGAAGCGUCUGGAAAGGCGCGCGAUACAGGGUGACAGCCCCGUACACAAAAAUGCACAUAUUGUGAGCUCGAUGAGUAGGGCGGGACACGUGGUAUCCUGUCUGAAUAUGGGGGGACCAUCCUCCAAGGCUAAAUACUCCUGACUGACCGAUAGUGAACCAGUACCGUGAGGGAAAGGCGAAAAGAACCCCGGCGAGGGGAGUGAAAAAGAACCUGAAACCGUGUACGUACAAGCAGUGGGAGCACGCUUAGGCGUGUGACUGCGUACCUUUUGUAUAAUGGGUCAGCGACUUAUAUUCUGUAGCAAGGUUAACCGAAUAGGGGAGCCGAAGGGAAACCGAGUCUUAACUGGGCGUUAAGUUGCAGGGUAUAGACCCGAAACCCGGUGAUCUAGCCAUGGGCAGGUUGAAGGUUGGGUAACACUAACUGGAGGACCGAACCGACUAAUGUUGAAAAAUUAGCGGAUGACUUGUGGCUGGGGGUGAAAGGCCAAUCAAACCGGGAGAUAGCUGGUUCUCCCCGAAAGCUAUUUAGGUAGCGCCUCGUGAAUUCAUCUCCGGGGGUAGAGCACUGUUUCGGCAAGGGGGUCAUCCCGACUUACCAACCCGAUGCAAACUGCGAAUACCGGAGAAUGUUAUCACGGGAGACACACGGCGGGUGCUAACGUCCGUCGUGAAGAGGGAAACAACCCAGACCGCCAGCUAAGGUCCCAAAGUCAUGGUUAAGUGGGAAACGAUGUGGGAAGGCCCAGACAGCCAGGAUGUUGGCUUAGAAGCAGCCAUCAUUUAAAGAAAGCGUAAUAGCUCACUGGUCGAGUCGGCCUGCGCGGAAGAUGUAACGGGGCUAAACCAUGCAC